GACUACCGGGGUAUCUAAUCCUGUUUGCUCCCCACGCUUUCGUGCCUCAGCGUCAGUACUGGUCCAGGUGGCCGCCUUCGCCACCGAUGUUCCUCCCGAUCUCUACGCAUUUCACCGCUACACCGGGAAUUCCACCACCCUCUACCGUACUCUAGCUCGCCAGUAUCAAAUGCCAUUCCCAGGUUGAGCCCGGGGAUUUCACAUCUGACUUAACAAACCGCCUACGCACGCUUUACGCCCAGUAAUUCCGAGUAACGCUUGCACCCUUCGUAUUACCGCGGCUGCUGGCACGAAGUUAGCCGGUGCUUAUUCUUACGGUACCGUCAUCCGCUCAGGGUAUUAACCCAAACGAUUUCUUCCCGUACAAAAGUGCUUUACAACCCGAAGGCCUUCUUCACACACGCGGCAUGGCUGGAUCAGGGUUGCCCCCAUUGUCCAAUAUUCCCCACUGCAGCCUCCCGUAGG
rnacentral:rRNA from 1 species